UACGGGAGGCAGCAGUGGGGAAUAUUGGACAAUGGGCGCAAGCCUGAUCCAGCCAUGCCGCGUGUGUGAAGAAGGCCUUUUGGUUGUAAAGCACUUUAAGCGAGGAGGAGGCUCUCUUAGUUAAUACCUAAGAUGAGUGGACGUUACUCGCAGAAUAAGCACCGGCUAACUCUGUGCCAGCAGCCGCGGUAAUACAGAGGGUGCGAGCGUUAAUCGGAUUUUACUGGGCGUAAAGCGUGCGUAGGCGGCUUUUUUAAGUCGGAUGUGAAAUCCCCGAGCUUAACUUGGGAAUUGCAUUCGAUACUGGGAAGCUAGAGUAUGGGAGAGGAUGGUAGAAUUCCAGGUGUAGCGGUGAAAUGCGUAGAGAUCUGGAGGAAUACCGAUGGGCGAAGGGCAGCCAUCUGGCCUAAUACUGACGCUGAGGGUACGAAAGCAUGGGGAGGCAAACAAGGAUUAGAUACC
rnacentral:rRNA from 1 species